UGGGGAAUAUUGCACAAUGGGCGCAAGCCUGAUGCAGCGACGCCGCGUGGGGGAUGACGGCCUUCGGGUUGUAAACCUCUUUCAAUAGGGACGAAGCGCAAGUGACGGUACCUAUAGAAGAAGCACCGGCCAACUACGUGCCAGCAGCCGCGGUAAUACGUAGGGUGCGAGCGUUGUCCGGAAUUACUGGGCGUAAAGAGCUCGUAGGUGGUUUGUCGCGUUGUUCGUGAAAACCGGGGGCUUAACCCUCGGCGUGCGGGCGAUACGGGCAGACUGGAGUACUGCAGGGGAGACUGGAAUUCCUGGUGUAGCGGUGGAAUGCGCAGAUAUCAGGAGGAACACCGGUGGCGAAGGCGGGUCUCUGGGCAGUAACUGACGCUGAGGAGCGAAAGCGUGGGGAGCGAACAGGAUUAGAUACCCCCGUAGUCC
rnacentral:rRNA from 1 species